rnacentral:lncRNA from 1 species
AAUAGGUGAUUUGGUCUAAAGAGUGUUUUUUUUUUUUUUUAGAGAUAAAUCGUAAAGUACUCGUCAUUUAUUUUAUUUAAAAAUAAACUUAGUUCAAAAUGUGAAUCAACUAAGAUUCAAAUUUGAGGCCUAAGUACCGGUCACUAAGUCUUUUACCACUUGCGUAAGUGACGGUCGGUAUUUGAUUUUUUGAAUAUGGAUGGUGAGAGCAUUUAUUAUAUGCUAUGUCCUAGAAUGACAUGGUGUGAAUUAGUAGGGUGUUACUAUAUGAGGAUAUUUAGGGGUGGAA